AUUUUCUGAAAACAUUGAGUACUUUUCUGGGUGUUAAACUAUCUCAGUUUCUUGGAAAAUAGAACAUUGGGUUUCUUGUGUGGACUGAAAGAAGGUCUUAUGUUAGCUUGUUCUUGUGCUUGACGUGGCUAGAGUUUAGGAAGACACCUAAAUCUAGUUUGAUUCUUCUUUUGACUUUUCAUACCUAUAUUCCUAUCUAAACUGUGGGAUAAGGGUGGAGACCCUGCGUUUGAGAGGAGAGGACGGAGAAUAAAGAAAACGAAUGACUAUAAAUUGCUUUGUGUUGGUCACCAUAUGUAGUCUUGGAGUAGUUUUAUUCAUUGCUUUUGUUUAUUUAUCUUACUGAAGCAUGAACAACUAUUCAAUUAAAGACUUGUAAGGCUAGGUGCCUUUUCUUGUGGUAAAUAUUUGUCAUAGCUUCUGAUCUCAUAUUUGUUAGAGAUCGGGGCGUGACAAACUUUUUAUGCUUUAUUCUUGUUAUUCAAAUCCAAACUUUGCAAACAUGGAACUCAUUCGGUUCAUUUGUUUUUGGAUUGGCAGCAAGCAGCUCAACCUAUUGAUGAAGUUGUUGAGAAGAAGGCCACGUACUUAUCUAACUUCCCAUCAUUCAUACAUACAUAAAGGAGAGGCAUCAAGGCAUAGGGGAGUGACAGCGAAAGUAAAGGUUGUUGUUGAUGCAGCUUAUGCUGGCAUCUUCGUUGUCAUCACAAAGUGUGUUCUUCUUCAACAUUUUAUUAAAUAUUGUUAGAAAACUAGUUCUGUUGAUGUAAUCACUUUGUUGGAUAUAUAGAUGAAUGUAUCGGAUUUUUAUAUAAAUGAAUGUGUUUUGGAUGUGAUGUCA